GGGGGGGGGGAGGUGGGGAGAUGGAGAGGGGUGGGAAGAUUGAAGAUGGUUUUGGAGGCUUAUCUGAAACAAAGGUACACUCAGUGAAGUUGGCAUGGAACUAUCAGGCUCUCUACAGGUCAGAGUGACAUUGUGAAGCCCUUGAAGAAUUCUGCAAACUCCUUAUCCCAACCACGUGCCAUCCAUAGCUCAGUAUUACUUGGAAUAACAGUCACAGGAUCAUCUGAAAGAGAAAAAUCUUUUGCAGUCUCCCAGGGUACAUCCACAGCAGCCAAAUAACUUGCGGCCAUGGCACAGGCCUGAUGACUUUCGCACCGUCACCCAUGGCAGUACACUAUUGUUGGGUCAUCCAUGUAAACACUGCUCUGCUGGGCAACAGUAGGCUGCAGUUCAGGUAGCCCAGGAGCCACUCCCAGCGCCCCAUAUGGUCAUAUUAUAUUGAGAUGGGCAAAGAUUUAACUACCUGUGAGAUGAGCUAUGCCACUGCCCCAGGGCAAGGAACUGGCACUGUUCACAUUUUACUAAUAAGAACACAGGGAGUGUCUUACAGCACUGGGAAAGACAAAGCAAUUCAUCAGUCAUGUGCAUUAAACCAGAGAAGACUUCACAGGUGAAGAGGAGAGUGCCAGAAGGCAUUAAGCAACAGCCAGAAAACUCAGGAGCUGACAGAGACUUGAACAAGAGAACUCAAAAUGUUUGAUCUCAUUUGGACAGACUCCAAAUCCCAGUGCUUACCUGAGCUGAUCAUCACCAUUUUCCCUCAUCCUUAAUAGAAAAUUAAUUGCAAAAGCCAGCUUCAUGGAGUAGUCUGUUAUGAGAAAUCUGGCUGUUUGUGGGCUCAGUUCCAGACAGGCUGAGCGUAGAUGGGGCCCCAAAGUCUGAAGCCUCCAGUCAGCUAGGUCCUUCCAAGCCAUAGAAAAUACUAAUGGAAUGAAAACAUAGAAUGCAAAUUCAGAGACUGCCUACUAGUGGGGUGGGAAGGAAGCACAUCACUGAAAGCUGUUGAAGGCCACUUCUCUCCAGCUUCGAUAGAACAAGAGGGAAUGGCCCACAGUUGCACCAGAGGAGGUUCAAAUUGGAUGUUAAGAAACAUUUAUCCUCCGGAAGAGUGGUCAUGCUCUCGAACAGGCUGCUCAGGGAGGUGGUGCAGUCACUGUCCCGGGAGAUAUUUAAGAAACAUGUGGAUGUAGCACUGAGGGACAUGGUUAGUGGGCAGUACUGGUGGUAGGUGAACAGUUGAACUAGAUGAUCUUAGAGAUCUUUUCUAAUCUUGAUGAUUCUGUGAUUCUGUGAAGUCCAGUCAGCAGGAGAGCAUUUUUAGCCCUGUACAAACUCAAUGAAAAAAAGUUUAUUUUGCAGAAACUGCAGACACUUGGCUUUCUUUAGGUCUUAGAACAAUUGGCAGAGCAAAUGUCGUGUGUGCAGUUGGUAUCUGAGCAGGAAUUACAAGCUUUCUCUUUCAAAUUAUAGCUAUGAGGGUGAUUGUAUGCUAUAAUACAAAACAUGCUGGGUCAGACUUUGUGGCUUCCCAAAUGCAGAAAUAAAGAUACAAACAUGAAGGACAAUGUUCUCCAUUGGAAUUUUUUUUUUCCAGAAACAAAGAUAUGGUACUUCACCAGUGUCCUAAAACCGAUCACAUAGAUGCACAGCAUUUUUAGAACAGGCUGCCCAGGGAGGUGAUAGAGUCACCAUCCCUGGAGGUGUUCAAGAAACAUGUAGAUGUGACACUGAGAGACAUGGGUUAAUGGGCAAUAUUGGCAGUAGGUGGAUGGUUGGACUAGAUGAUCUUAGAGGUCCUUUCCAGCCUUAAUGGUUCUAUGAUUCUGUGAUUCACUUCUGGGUAGCAUUAUCUUAUAUCCCAUUUGAAGUGUUUUGCUGAUUGUUUCUUUUACUGCUUUGCCCCAGAAAAUUAACUUGUAUUUGGGUCCUCAAAGAUGCUUUUGUAAAGCUGCUAACUGUGGAGCUGAGGAAGAUGGGUCACAUGGUACACUUAGCCCUUCACUAAUUGAUACCCAACAGAGUGCACUUGCAUUGGUCUGGCUGUGAAUUCGGCUCUGGCUGGCUGAGCACUAAUGACAGCACCUACUGUAAUAAGCUGAUAUUAGUAGAGAAAGUAAAAUGGCCUGCAAAAAUCCCAAAUGGGUGAUGAAAAUUCUACAUCAUGCAGACCCCUUCCUGUAACUGUGUAGUGGCACAGACCAGCACUCAGCCUACCAGUCUCUAGUUAGUUAGUGAAUACAACACUCUGAAGGCCUUGGCUGUAUCAUGGCAUGCUUCUGAAUACAGUUGGACGUUCUUGGCUGUAGACAAUAAACCUAACCAAAACUUUGUGGUUGAUGGCAAAAAUCAUCACAUGAAAGCAUGUGGUAAGAUGUGCUUUACAUUUGUAUUUCUUCUAUUUGUAAUACGUGAUUUAGAUACCAUUUCUGCUGUUUUUUUUUUCAUAUAUGUAAGUAUCCUUUAUUUUUAUGGGCUUGCUUUUGAUCCAUUUUGUUUUGUAACAUCCACAUAUCAGCAUGUGACUGAUAGGGAGGUCUCCUUGGGCAGCUGUGCUGUCCUAUAGCUUAUGCAGUCCCCAAAAGAAAGCUUCUGCUGAGGGCUCUGUAAAGCUGCAGAGGGGCCAUCUGAAAUGCUUCUUAUGAUGAAUACUGACAAAAAGAGUUGGCUGGAGGAUAUUGCCAGCCCUGUACUUGUUACUGCGACUAGUCAAAGUGAUGGGUUUUCUGCAGUGUUUAAGCCUGAGAUUUCUUUUUGUCUUUAAAAAAUUUAUUUGACCUCUGUAAAAUUUCUGUUAUGAAUUUAGAAGGUACUUACCCUCAAACAUUGUUUUACAUUGUGUUCUUCUGAACCAUAGCAAAACUGUUUUGUUUUCCCAUCCUCAAAAAUGCUGACCCUGAAAAAAUAGAUCACCAUUCUGUUCUGUCUGUGAUCUAAUUAAUUUGCAUUUUUCCCCCACUCCCCUGCUGUUCUUAUACUUUUGCAAUAUCAUUUCCUGCUACACUUCCUGUAGCUUUGGUUAUAGGGAAGGUCAGUGUGUCCAUCCCUUCCAGCAUCCCCCCAGGCAUUGUGGUAGCUGAGAGACUUCAUCCCAGCUUCAGACAAGGAUGCAGCCUGCUUGCUGGUGGCUACAGUACUUGAUUCUACAAUUCUGUGAUUCUACCCUGUGUGAGCAAUACAGUUCAGAUGUUAUGAUGUAGUUUAAAGGAGUAGUUGUCACAGAAUCACCAAAUGGUUGAAGUUGGAAGGGACCUCUCAAAGUCAUCUGCUCCAGUUCUCUUGUUCAAGAAGAACCAUCUACAACAGAUUGACUAGGACCAUGUCCAGUUGGCUUUUGAAUCUCUCCAAGGAUGGAGACUGCACACACUCUCUUUCCAUUAAGUCAUAUUUAAGGGCUAUUAUUUAAAAGACAGAUUCAGUGUGAGGGAAGGAGGAGGGAAGGGGGCCCUCAUCCUUUCAUCCACACACUGGCAGCUUUGCACCCUGCACCAGCAAGGAUUGCUGCCCAACAGUAGCCUAGCAGGCAGUCAGCAAGAAGUCACUAGAGAGAGUAAGGAACUCGUUACAGAGGCUGCGGCUAUGCUAGCAAUUAGCACGCUGCAUGAGGAGAGGAGCAGAUGGCGCUGAGGACUGAUGUUCACGCUAUGUACAUUGUGGGGUUUUACUGCAGACUAAUGCUCAUCUUUAUACCAGGUAGCUGAAUGUUCACUAGGGGCUAGAGAGCAUUGAGUGAACUGUUAGACAUGUCUUCCAAUUUUAUUUCGAGGUAAAAAAAAUAAAAAAAAAUCCAGUUCAAAAUCUCCAUGAUCUAAACUGAAAUCUGGCAAGUGGGAAUGAUUUGUAGGUUUGCUUCUAAAGCUUAGGCUUGAAGUGAGCUAAAACAGUAACAUAGAGGCACUCACCACCCACAGAGGGCAAGGUCUCUUUUGAAAGUGUUAAUGGUGGGAUACAAGGGUAUACAAGAGUAGCCACAGACAUUGCCUAAGUUUUGCCUUCUGCAGAUGAUUACCUUUGUGGUGGUUUUUUUUUUGUUUGUUUGUUUGUUUGUUUUGUUUUUUUAAAUUAUUUUUAUUGUUGUUGUUUCUAAGAGGUUCUGAUAGUCAGAAAGAGCAGAGGUCAAAAUGCUGGUUGCUUGGAAGCAAUGUUCCUUGGAGUCUGACUGCAGUAAAUUAUAACUUUGACACCAUUGUAGAGCAAGGAAUUCUUAAACAGGCUGUAAAAAUAGACUCAAUGAGUUAGUAAAACAAGCAUGAAUUGAGGCCAUGCUGUUGGUAGCACAUGCCUUCAGAUUCGCCACUGUGGUGCACAGGACUUCAAGCAUCCCACUGGCAGGUAACUGCCACACACUGUGCAUUGUAUAGAACUGAAGCAGAAGGAAAAGGAGACAGGCACACCCUUUGUGACUUUCAUCUCUUAAAAAAUAUUUUUUCUCACUCUUGGGAAUAAAAGCUCAGAAGUCUGAGGUUUGGGUCUCAUUGUUGCAGGGUUGCAGGCUUAUUAUUAUUUUUUUUUUUAAGAACAUGUAAAUAGUUUUAUAUGUGUAUACUGUAUAGUAUAUAUCCUUUCUAUAACAUGUAGGCUCUAUAUAUUCUUAGACAGGGAGACAAACAGACAGAUAGAUACCAAUAUACUAUAGAAAGGAUUGGUUCAUUGUAAAGUCAUUAAUAGAAGUCAAACUGCCUCAGCUUCCCUUUGCUGACAAAGCACUCUGAAAUUUCCUCUUCUCUCUAGCUUAGAUCCUUCAGUCGUCCACUCCGUGAUGCACAGUCAAGUAGUAGACUUCAUGUUAUUGCUGCUUGUGACUGGCUGUAACGAUUUAGGGAAGGAUCUUCCAAACAGAAUUGAACCUGGAUAUCCCGUCCUUCCAGUGCUGAAUCAAUGCUUCUGUUCUUCUGGUUGAAAAAAAAAUUAAGGUUUAGCUUUAGCCAUGAAGAGAGACCAUUAAUUGCUGUUUUAUGGAAGCUGAUCUUCAUUGCAGAGAUGAGAAUGAGACAAGGGCAACAUUUUUGCUUUUGAGAAUUCCCAGAGACUGCUCAUAGAUCAGGGAAAGCUCAACUGCCUCUGCUGCCCUGCAUUUCGUUCAGGCACUUGCUUACAGGUUAUCUGCUUCUUCGGCUCUUCCCAAGAGAACUGGUGUACCAUUCCUAAUAAUAAUCCAGCACCUUUGGCAUAAAUGAUUCCUCACAUGAGAGAAACAGAAACCGCAAAAGCAAGAGCCCGGGGGAAUAGAAGCAAGGAAGAAGAAUGAACAAUGAGGCUUGGACACAGAUUGUUAGCACUGAGGUUUGUAUUGAUUUAAUGUCUUAAAUUUUUAAUUUGUCAGUGAUUGCACUAACACGUGAGCUAAAAGAGGAGGAAGGAGGCAAACUGAGAAAGCAAGAGAAGCAGGAAGGAUGGGGCAGCAAAGGGAAAGCUGUGUCUGUGGGUCUGUGAGAGCCUUCCUCUUGCUGCCACAGGGCGAGGGUGUCAGCCACAGCAUUUAGGAGAGUGCAGGAACAAUGUCAAAGGUUGACACAACUUGAAGAGUCAGGCUUUUCAUGUUUGUUUCUGGUUGCUUUUUGUUGUUAGUGUGGGCUUUUUUUGCAAGCGGUUUUACACUAUUACAAGACACGCCGGGAAUAUGCUUACUCAAGAGUUGCCACUGCAGUAUUUUAACUUGCAGGAAAAAAGCAGUUUCUUGAUUGUUGAAUCCUAUGGUACAGCAAAUUGACUAAAAAAUAAUUAAUUAAAUAUGUAUUUCACUAUUCACGUGGCAAGCUACCAUUUAAAAAUAGUUAUUGAAGCUAUCUGUCUUUAAUCUUUAAGACUUCUGAGUGUACUGGCUGUCUUGUGAUGCUGAGUGGCCUUUUCCUGGUGCUGAGUCCCUCACAGAGCAUGGCACAUCUCGCUGACUUCAUGGAUGUCUUAUGUCAGGGCAGGCCUCUUCUGUGGAGUGGUAUGAAUAUUGCCCUGGGCAGCAGAAUUGAAAAGAUAGUCUACUUAGCGGUGAGGAUCUAUUACUCUAUGUAGCACUUGUAUCAUGGAAUAAAAUAAAAUCUAAAUCAAGUCUAUUCCUGCCUACUUUUAGAUACUUUGCAGCGCUAAUGGAUGCUGAUUACUAGCUGUGGCUUUGUUAGCCUGGGCUAGACAUCAUCCACAGGCUUGGUUUUGUGCUCUGGAAUCACAGAAUCAUAGCAUGGUUUGAGUUGGAAGGGACCCUUAAAGAUCAUCUAGUCCAACUCCCGUGCAGUAAACAGGGGUACCUACAGCUCAAUUAGAGUUAUCAGAGCCCCAUCCAGCCUCACCUUGAAUGUCUCCAGGGACAGUGGAAAACAAGAUGAAUUUCAUCAUUGCUUUUAAUGAGCAAUAGGCAAAUCAAUGAGAAAUGAAAGUGCAUGAUCUGAAGUGCUGUGAUCAACUCAGACUGUGUUUGUAUCCCUGCUCCAGUCCAGUAGUGUGUUGCCAGAAUUGGUAUGUUAUUUCAAAACUCACCAGAGUGGCUACGUGGCCUGUUUUAGGAAGAAGUGCCUUUCUCAGGGCCUUGAGAUACUCUUAACUAAAACAAAACCAUUGCUGAAUUACAGGGCUGAUUCUCAUGCUUACAGCACUGUAUCUCAUGGUAGCAUCACUGAAGUGACAUAUAUGGAAGCAGAGGGGGAUUCAGCCCUAUGCUGCUUUAAUGUAGUUCUGCAGUUUGCUUGUCAAUCUGAUGGUACGGCAGUUUGCUUGUCAAUCUGAUGGUACGGCAGCCUGCGUGUAAGGUACUCAGUUUUCUCCAGUUCUUUCACAGAGCUGCACUAAUUAUAGUAGGAUCCUCUUGGGUGUGUAUUAGCAUUAAUUAAGGGAUUGCAACUUUCACAUGAAUAAUCUGUCUUCAGCAGACCCUGAGCAGAAUUAUCAGGUAUGUAGAAGGUAAGAAGCAAAGGAAAAAUCGGGAGAUGUGGACUUUUUUUUAUGGAGAGGGUUGCUGACCUUGUUGUUUUCUUGCCACUGUCAAGCUAAUAGAUGACAAAAGGUGAACUACAUCAACUUCGUUUUUAGUAUCAGAUUCAUAUCUUUGCUUUAAAAGCUGUCAAUCCUAGAAAUAGUCAAUUAGCCCUGCUGAAAAAGUGCACUUCUGAACAGAUGUUGUUGGCAAUAAUGCUCAUCAGUUAAACCUGAUUAUUUCAUCCCUGCUGGUGUGUGGCAGCAGGGAGGAGGAGAAGGAUGUUGAAGGGUGAAGGAGAUUUUGGCAUAAGGAGGACAUGAAGAUAUGCCAAGAUGAUUUCUUCAUUAUUUCUCCUGAGUCUGUCUCCUUUCACUGUGCUUCUUCUAGUAUUAUACCUGACAGUAAAGAACUGGGAUCAUUUAGUACACCUGGCACCUAGUGGUUUCAUGGGGCUGGAAAAUCCUGCCAGUAACGCCAUGAGAAAAGGCUGCUGCCUUCUACUGUGUUGCUUGUGAGUAUCUAGGUCAUCACAUCCAUGCAGCAAAUCUUAGUGGGAUUGUUUCUAGGCAUGGAGUAAAGUGUGAUUAGUGUACUCUUGGAGAUCGCAGUAUGUGCUUGGUACAUCUGUUUAACUUGCCCAGUGGAGUCUGGGCUCAGAUUCUGCCUUGGGGAAAUUCUUUGACAUCACUGCCAGCUGGAUGCAUCACAUUUAUCUUACCCUCAACCUCAGGAAAAUUAAGAGCUUCUUGCUGGGCCAGUGGUACUGUGGUUAUGAGCAGGGCCUCUUCUCCUUUGUGUCAUCCUUGAAGGGUAUCAACCAUGUCUUGACUUCUGACCUUUCCAUUUGUGUAGCAAGCUGUGUACUUUAUGCAGUAAAAAAAAGUGAGCUGUUUUUUGUUUCACGGGGGGUGACUGUGCAUGCUUACCCUGGCUUAACUGAUGCUGACCUUGCAAAAACAGCAUCUGAAGCAUUGUUUAUACAACUCCUUUUAGGUAGCUCUUCAGCAAUGCUGCCCACGUCUUGCAGCAGGGAUGCGAUAGCCUGUUGGGUGGUUUGUAUGAGCUAUAAGACCAGGCUGACUUUGAGAUCCAACUUCAGAUUCUUUCACCAUUGAUGAUGUAAACCCUUCUAAAAUUCAGACCUUUGAAUUUCACUAAUGAUUCUGACUGAAUUUCAAGCUGGUGAAGAGCAUUUUAGGGCAUAGUGUUCGGUGCAGUGUUGACAAGACCAAGUAAAAAUCACAAUGUAGAAUCAUCAGUGGUUUUCUUAGUGGUCUUAAGUUGUGUCUGAGGAGGUUUAUAUUGGAUACUAGGAUGAAUUUAUUAAUAGAAGGAGAUGUCAAGCAUUGGAACAGGCUGCCCACUGCAGUGGUGGAGUCCUCAUCUGUAGAGAUAUUUAAGUGAUGUGGACAUAGCAGGAAAGGACAUGAUUUAGAAAUGGGACUCAGUAGGUCAGGUUGAUGGCUGAACUUGAUGAUCUUGAAAGUCUUUUCCAACCUGGAUAAUUCUAUGAUUCUGUUCUAUGAAUAAUGACUCGUUGGGAACCCACUGGAAAACCAUACUUCAGUCUGCCCAUGUUACAUCUUAAAUUAGUAUCAAAUUGUGCUUUUACCAAGUGCUGAUAACAUGUAAGAACGGCCAUUUCUUUUGGCUGUAUCACUCCUCCCACAUCAAGAAGCUCUCCAAAUGCCUCUCAUUUUAUGCAGGACUUUUUUUUCCAUUUUACAAUUUAUUACUUUAACUUAUCUCCCUUUCCUCAUCCUAUCCUUUCUGAUCCUGUCAGUUAAUUGGAUUUGUUGCCAAUAAAGGGUAUUCCAUUAUUUGAAUGUGUUCUGCUUACAGAUAGUGGCUUCAUCAAUUAAGAAGCACUUGAGUGCAUAAAGCUUGUCCAUUUUCUUAACUCUGGUCUGUGGGACUAAUUAACAUGGCUGGUUCAAGCUGCUCAGCAGCACAGGCAGAAAUGAUUUUUACUACCUCAAAUGUCAAGGCUUGUGGUGAGAAGAGGGCCAAUACCAGGUGAAGAGUUGAGAUGGAGGGAUCUACAGAUCUGGUACCCUCAUGGAGCCUGGAGGGCUGGAGGCAGCAGCUCCAUUGGCACAUGAUUCCUGCUCCCUUGCUUGGAAGUAUUUUAUCUGUUUGCCCAUUGUAUCCUCUGAAGCAGUGGCACUCUGCUGUGCUAGGGCUAUGGUACCAGGGAGAUCAGCAGUAGGACCCAGGCCGUUUCACUGCCGCGAGCAGCGUGUUGCCCUAGGACACUGUCCACUUUACCUUGGUUUGUUGUCUAUGAAAAGAAAAUAAUACUCCUUGCAAGCCUUCCCUGUGUUGUAUCUCAGCUACAAGAGCAAAUGUGUAGCUGAGAUGCUACAGAAAAGACACUGUAGAGAGCAGUUGUCAAACACAAUUGAUCUAACUGAAAAGCAAGACAAUUAUGAUUGAUACUUUAGGAUCAUUUGAGGCAAAUUCUUUAGGUAGGUGGUUAUGCCAAAGAGCUGGUUGUUCUAUCAAUGCUCUGUGCCUUGGAUAUAUGCUGAGGACAGAAGGUUAAUAUUCUGGGCAUAGUAUAAAUCAUAAAACAAGACAAUUCAUUAUUUUCUUGGCUUUGGAGAGAUUUUUGUCUCUGGUAAAAAGAAAAGAGGAGUGUGUGUGUGAGGGGGUGUAUUACAUGUGCUGGAUGGCAUGCAUUCAGUGUUGUAAUGAUGGUUAACAAUUCCUUGGCAUUAGAAAACAGCCUGAGGGAUGCCAUGUUCAACUUCUUACUGAACUGCAGCUUCCACAUGAAUGGAGUGACUGUGUCUUGACUACAUUAUUGAUUUUCUCUGGAUUACUUCACUGAGGCAAGUGAGCAAACUUAGCUGUUUUAUUAGAUGCUCAGCAGCAGGCAGUUCACAAAAUACCACUUUCUGAAGUAGUUUGUUUAUCUUAGAAAUUUCUAAUAUGCAUUGAAACGCAGAAGAAGAGAUGGCAGUACAUGCUAAACCACUCAAAUCAUGAACCCUGGGCCCUGGACGAAUGUCACAGGCCUCUGGAGCGGCAUCUGGGGAGAGUUAGACUUAAUCAGUUCUUCCCAGUACUGGCACAGCUAACUGAUUCGAGUGACACAGUGAUAAAAAUGCUCUCAGCUUUUAGCAGCGGAACGUUCAUCCUAGCUUGAUAUCCUGGCAUUUAUAUAGCACACUGAAGAAGUUCAUCAAAUUUUUAACCACAGAGCUUUUAGAAGCAGGUGAAAGAUGCUCUGCACUUGGAAAACUGUCUUCAUGUCACUGACAUUUUAGUCUCAUCUAACACACCUAGAUCUGAAGAAACCCAAAAGAGGCCCAGAACAAGGAGGUGAAAUCCAAGUGAAUCUUCAUUUGCAAACACAUCUUGUGCUUGUAAUGGUAUGUUACUGUUGAUCCUUCUCAUGGUGUUUGGGAAAUAUGCCUACUAUGACGCUUCGUGUUCUACUUUGUUUUUCAAAGGGCUGAAUACAGUAAUGUUUUAGAGCUUUUUUUUUUUUUUUCCUUCAUUUCUCUCUUCUUUAGGCAGUGUGAACAAAAGUGAGAGACAAAAAAGCUCGAUCUGCUGUAAACUGUGAACUGCAAACUGAGGGGGCUGUGGGGAUGGCUGUUGGCAGCGUGUUAUAAAUGUCGUCUCUGGGCUGGAGCUCUUCCAGGAGUGAGGAUGCUGUUUGUGCCAUGCUGCCGUUAGCCAGUACCCGUCAGUGUUGUGUGCUAAAAAAAACCACAUGGCAUCAUAAAUGGGGUUCAGGACACAAGAAUUAGUAAGGAGAGCUACGGUAUUUAAAGGCAAUCAUUUUAUCUGGGUCUUGUUCCCAUUUACUUCAGUUUUUACUUUAAAAAAAAAAAAAAGAUGCACUUGGCCUACUUAAAUGCAGAUACCAAAGUGAAGUGCUCGAAUAUAGGGCCUCACAUUAACCACACGUGUUAACAAACGUGCAGUCCCUUACUUCUGUACAUUAUCUUCGGUCUGGUGCCUGGCCACCAUAUAAAUCUCCCCAGAAUGGUACUACAGCACCAGUGAGACAACAGACAUUGUGAAAGGCUGAGGAAAACAGAAGAGAACUUCCUCAUGUUACGAAACCUGCUAUUUACAAUGUGUGUAUAUUAUGCCUUCAUCGUUGCUGUCGAAUCUGUUCAUUGAGGAGAAAAAAAGAGUAUUAAUGACAAAUACAUUUCUCUUACAAAUACAUAACCUCCUCAGGUUAUACUUUGGCCAGGUCUUCAGUGGUUUCAUUUAAAUUCCCUUCCAGCCCAAGCCAUUCUAUGAUUCUAUGAAAUUAUUAGUAGAUCAGAAAUUAGAUGAGCAAGAGAAUGGGACCCAUAACUGUGGGAUGAAGCUGGCACAUCCUCAUAAAUUUCCCAGUACUACUUUUUUUCACUUGAAAGUGCUGAUCUGUUAAAAAAUGUGAAGUGUCCCCCAAAUGCAGUGUAACUGCAUUCAAUUGAAUCACUUCUGGAGAGUGCCAGCAAAUUUUAAAAAAUCCAUUUGAAAGUUCCUCUUACCGAAUAAUUUUGUUUUCUUGUUUGAAAUAAUUUUCCUUUCAACACUAGGAUUUUUUCUUAAAGAGCGAGAUGUAAGGUAUUCCAAACCAAAUGAAGAACUUCUGCUGUUGUUGAAAUGAGAAGAAAAUUUUGAUCAAACUAAAAGGAAUUUAUUUUUAUUUGAUGGGAAAUUUAGUAAUGAUCUGGGGGUUUGCCCAGAUAUAAACAAUAUCCCAACUGGUCUCCUAUAAGAAUCUUAAGACUACUUGUUUCCUCACAAGAAAAGGAGCCUGUUCUCCCUCAACUUGGAAACAGCAAAGUCAUUGACAAAAUCAACUUGAUCUUGGUGGAGAUCAACGAUGAAAUGCUUGCAUGGGGAACCCAUGUCAAGGAGCACCGAGCACCAAGCAUCAUUCAGUCACAGAAGUUGGAGAUUCCUGCUGGGAACAAGGGAAGGAAAACUUGACACCUCCAGAAGGAGAUUAGAGUAAUUCUGAACUGAGUGUAGCCUGUGCCCUGCAAGCAUCAGGGUAGAGGUGAGGGAUGCAGCUACAUCCACUGCAUCAUCCCAUCUGAGCUCUCUUAACACCAACCAGACAUUUCCCAUCGGAUUGCCAGCCACUGGAACCAAUGCCUCCCCCCCUUUUUUUUUCUUUUUUUCUUUUUUUUUCCCACUCUCCAAUCAGAUUUUACACCAAUGAUGGCAAUUUUAAAAAUAAAUAAAUAAAUGAAGCAGACGAACUUUUUCAGGCUGUUCCCUCCUCGUCUGUGUGCAGAGGACUGCAGAUCUGUGUGCGAUAUAAUGAAGGCCUGGGGGAGAAUAUUAGCACUUCUGAAAAGAGCUCAGGGAAUUCUGGUUUUUGCUCUGACAACUGAAGGCAGAGGAGAGUUUUCCCUUUCAUGUUUGUUUUCAGUAUAUAAAGUGAUUGAAAGCAGUUUCCCAAAGAGGAGGGUGGGGGGGGAGAGUGAUGAAAAUUUUUAGUGUUUCUAAUCUGCUGCCUUAAUUUUGCUGCAGCUGCACUCUCACAUGAGUUUGUUAAUGCUAUGGAAGGGCAGGACUGGCCAGCAAGGAGCCAAAGACAGGGACACGUGUCUUUUGGGCUCAAGUCUGCACUGCAAGAGAGACUGCUGUCAUAGGGAUAGAAGAGGGAGAAAAGAGUGCAAAUUCACCAGCACAGACAGAAAAGGUAGUAGGAGAUUAACUGUAGCCCCUAUGGCACAUCAAAGCUCUCUAUAGCACAGAUCUCUUCUGUAAUGGCUGCACACCAACCUCAUCCUGCAUUUUUUUUUAGUUAUUUAAGUGGUAAAGCUAGAGUGUCACGUACCCUUGGAUGGAAUAGAAUCAUAGAAUGGCUUCGGUUGGAAGGGACCUCAUAGAUCAUCUAGUUCCAAUCCCCUGCUUUGGGCAAGGUUGCCAAUCACUAAAUCAGGCACAUGAUCUGGCUACACAGGGCCCCAUCCAACCUGGUCUUGAACACCUCCAGGGAUGGAGCAUCCACAACUUCUCUGGGUAAAUCACCUCUAUAAAGAGGGAGGCAAGGCAGAUUUCUGCAGCUUUGCUCGUCAGCUGGUAGUGGGAAGGCAACAAAAGCAAAAUCUUGUGGACUCUGCAGAGCCUGCCCAGACACUGUUACCAUCUAUAACAGAUAUGAUGAAUGUUAAAACAGUAUGCUAUCUUUUACCCCUUAAGAUGGCCAGCAAUGCUCGCAGUAUUUUUUGGAUAAAAUGAUGUUUUCAUUAUUGAUGUUGUUAGAAUGAAGUUAACUUGAGCCUGCACUCUGGCCAUGGUUGGCUGGACCCUCCCUCCCUGUGCCCCACAGCCCUGAGUGUGUUGUUGGCAUUCACUGCAAGAAAAUGAGAUCCUGGUCUGGGCACUGGCUAACUCCAGGCUUCACCAAAUCCUAAUCCAAACAACUCUCUUCAGCCAGGACAUGAAACGCUUUGAGAAGUCCCUCAAGAAACUUUUGGAUUAAUCUAGGACCUAAACCAAAUGCCCUCUGGUGACUACGAACCAUGCCUUGAGACUUAGUUGGGUGUGCAUGGGGUUGUCUGCCCAGUCCAGCUGCAGAGAGGAGCUCAAUUUCCAGGAUUACCCAUCCGACACCAUCCUCAACAUAAAAAAAUUAAGACAAGGUUGCCUGGAGACCAGAGCCAUGUACCUCCUGCUCGCUUUGAGCUCUGAAUUGAUCCACUCACUUUCCUUGGUGCUGAUCUGCACGGUUGCAGCCUCAGAGCUGCCGUAGGAAAUCCAUCCUGCAAACCUGGAGCAGAGAGUUCUGUCCUGCACUCUGCCUCCUGCUUCAUCACGCUCUCAAGGCAGAGUGCCUGGGCCUGUGUGCAAUAACACAGAUGGAGUAUGUGCAUCUGUCUGCCUUGAAAACUUGGUGCAUAGUGCAGUGGAAAUGUGUGGUGAUGGCUGUGUUUGGUAGAAGAGGGGAAUGGACUCACAGUUCACCUUUCACAUCAGGGUACUUGUUGAAUAUUAAUUCAGAAGCAAAAUUGUAGCAUAGUGAAAUGCCUCACUGCCUCUACUUCAUUCUUAAUGAAAAAGGAGGAAAGACCAGGCGUGUUGACAUAUAUAUGGCACAGAGAGGACUAACAGCAGCCAGUUAAUAAUCUUUGUCUCCCUCGCUGCUGGUACAGGUUUAGAACAAAUGUACAAAAAAUGUCCCAGGCACGUGUGCUCACAGAUGCCUAUGCAUUCAGGCAUGGUUUAGCAUGAAGAAUCACAUAAAUUAGCAGGAUUAUAAUUACUCCUUUUAAUCCUUUGGCUCUUAACAAACAAGCUUUAAUCAGCAGACGGGAAGCCCAUUUAGAACUUGAAACGUAAUCCAAGGUCAGGAGGUACGGGUCACCGCCCUCAACUGUGGACCAAACAACCAGGUGUGAGCAAGGGCUGUAGCAACAAGGGCACCUCAGCCCUGGGGAGAUGGGGACUUGGCCUGGAGAAGUCGUGGGGCUGUGGGGACACAUCAGUGCCAUGCUCCUAAGGAGAAGAGGAGCGGGAAGAGGGCAGGAAGCUAAUAAGAGCAGUUCCCUUCUCCAGGGAUAAUUGCAGAGGGGUUAGAGGUAAUUAGUUUAUACGGGAGCAGAGGUUAAUAGGGUUCUUGUUUGGGUUUUUCUCUUCUUUUGAUGGAGCGUGUCAGUUGUUUAAAGCUAACAAGCUGAUGAGGUAAAAAGCAAAUUAAGUAUGUGAUCCAGAUGUUGCCAAAAGUUGAGGCAGAAGUGUUAAAAGGAGAAGUUUUCAGAGUUAGGUACAGGAAAAAAAAAAAAAAAGAAUAUGAAAGUAAGGUUUGUAUAUUAAAGCUAACCAAAUGAAAGCGAACCAACGCAUGCCUUGCAUUAUUUGUGUUAUUUAUUAAACUACUGGACGAAAACAUUGCAAAAAUGAACAGUGUAGUUAUUAAGAACAGCCAUUCUGCUGCCCUAGUGCAUAAUUCCUACUGACUUAUUCCGAAGUGCUGCCAUAAGGCUUCCUGCCAUUGAGUUCCUCUUCAAUAAACAGGAGGAGGCUGAGAGUGCAGCAGUUUAUUCCAUGAACCAUACAGUCACUUAUUCUAUCCAGGCAGAGUAAUCCACUCCCUGAUGUCCCCAGACUCCUUCACAUACCUUGCAGCUGUGUUUCUGCUUGAGCAAGAACUUUCCAAAAUACCGGGCAAGUGCUCAAAGCCCUCAUCAUCUGCAUGGCACCAUGGGGUUAUGAAAAGAGGCCAACAUUUCCUAAUGAUUACGAUGCUGUGCUCAUAUAAAAAUCAGUAGAAAAAGUUAAAACAUCCAUAAUAAACUAUUUCAGCAGCUCUGUCUUGCUGAAUCGUGCACGUGACCCCAGAUCCCAGUGUCACCAACUUUUCACAGAAUAUUCUUUUAAGAUCUGUUCUUCCUAUUUAUCCUUUUAUCUCUAUUUAUUUUUAUAUUUAUUGACUCCUGUUUUCCACUCCUUCAGCCAACACCUGUUUAAACUGGAAAUAGGUGUGAAGAUGACCAGCUUUUAAGACCUUCUCCUCACAGACUUACCCAUAAGGUCUCUGCUUAGAAGCACUAGUUUACCUUUCAGUGCUAAUGUUAUCAUGUGAAUUUAGAAGGGAAGUAUCCACGUUAGAAAAUGUUUAAUGGAAAAACAGCUUCCAAACUAUCUGGCUUGUUUUUAUAGAUGUACCUAGCAUCCUUCCUAAGGGUUUGAACCAGUUCCAAGAGUAGAAAUUACCCUAAUGAAAUGUGUUUUGUAGCCCUGCCACUAGUUGAAGAACUGCACCCCAAGUGUUGAAACACCCCCAGCUGGCCAGGCAAGAAUGGCAUGAAGGUGUUCUUUCCUGUGUAUUGUCAGGUUCUGAGUUAUUCAAGGAUGCCCUGCUGGAGCUUGAAAAAUGAAGGGGAGAGUGGCAAUACAAAGGAACCAAAGUUACUGAAAGAUAGUUAUAGUCAUACAAAGGCACUGAGAACUGACAACAACACUGUUGGGAAGCUUGCUAGAAAAAUAAUUCUUUUCUAAGCUACACAUACUGUUGGGUGCUUCUAGUUCCAAAAUAUUUUGUAGACAAGCUAGUUGGAUGAUUUACAUGAUUCAUUAAGUUGGAGUUCAGCAUGAUCUGCUGCCACUUCUGCUUCUGCCUGGAAUAUAAUUUCAAAAUACCUCAACCCCCUACAAAAAGCAAACACAAGAACAUUAGCAAAUAGAAGGUUAUUAGCAGAUCCAUGUAGUCGCUUCUGCUAUAGUCACUCUGCAACUGUCUUUUGCCCCAUGUUCAUGGGGGAACAAUCUGGCAGAUAUACUCCAGAACAGAAGUAGCUGUGAGUUCAAAUAUCUAGACAUGGGAUAUCCCUUGAAAAUCUGGGAGGAGUGCAUUUGUCAUGAAGUAUAGAGGAGAAAAGAUGCAGAUACAAUGGAUAAUUUGUUGCCCCCAACCUCUUAGUUUGUGUGAAUUACAAAGAAAUUUCUGAUUGCAAAAGAGCAGCAACUCAGAAAAGGAAGAGGCCAAAUGUACUACAAAAAGCAUUGCAUUGCACUGGCAAAAAUGAAAGUGUGUUUAGUACAUGUUUAUGGAGCUUGUCUUGGAUGCUCUAAAAAUAACCUUGCUGGAGCAAGUCUCUGAGUCCCUGCAGGAAACCCUACACAUUCCUCACAUAGAACAGCAGCUUAAUCCCAGUUUUCACAACAAAAAGAAGAAUUAUUUUUAGUGCUUUUAAAAAUAGACUUCAGUUGCCUAGUGCCUAGUUGUCAAAUUAAGAUGUGGAAGGUGUGUCACUUCUUGGGAGUAUGGCACAAGUUGCCAAAUGCUGGAUGACCAGAACACCUAACCAGAAAUAAUGUGGUGGUUCAGAUGUGCUAAGAGGUGUUAUGAUAAAGACUCCAGGUCAGGCUUGCUGGAAAAGGAUAAGACCAAAUUAAAGGGCCUAAGGAACAUCCUGACAGUGAUGAAGGGUAAGACAGAGGAAUGGGAGCAGUGUUGAGCAGGACCUUCUUGUGGCUGAGACUCCAGGCUGUGAUCUUCUACAGGACAAGAGAAUUGGAAGUUCAGGGGGCAUCUUACCAAUGUCUAUAAAUACCUGAAGGGGAGAGUGCAAAGAUGAUAGUGCAAGGCUCUUUUCAGUAAUGUGCAGUGCCAGGACAAGAGGCAAUGGCACAAACUGAGCACAGGAGGUUCCCUUUGAACGCCAGGCAGCACUUCUGUGCUGUGCAAGUGACAGAGCACCAGCACAGGCUGCCCAGAGGCUGGGCAGUCUGCUCCUUGGAGAUCUCCAAGAGCCACCUGGCCAUGGGCCUGGCACCCUACCCUGGGUGUGCUGCUGGGGCAGAGGCUGGGCAUGAUGGACACAGAGGUGCCUGCCAGCAUCAGCCAUCCUAUGAGUCUUCAAAGGCAAAUGUUGCACACCAGUUGAAAAGUUAAAAGGAACACAGAAGGCUCUAGUUAGGCCAUAAGAGAAGCACAGUUAAAACCUAGUCUCAGUGAAAUCAAAAGUCAAUUUCAGGAACUUAAAUUAUGCACAGUUCUGCCAUCUGGACUGUGACUAACAGUGUUCUCUUGUGGUUUGUAGAUGGGUCUUGGAGCCUGUAGGUUUUGUAGGCAUUCUUCUUUUAAACUCUGUAGAUAUCCCAUCAUUUCCUUCUAUUUGCCAGAUGUUGAGCAGAACUGAGGAUGCUGAUGUUCCUACAAGGAAGUAAGGAGCACUGUAAUGCAUUGGCACAGGCUGCCCAGAGAGGUGGUGGAGUCACUAUCCCUGGUGGCGUUCAAGAGCUGUGUAGAUGUGGCACUGAGGGAUGUGGUUAGUGGGCAUGGUGUUAUGGUUUGGAGGUUGGACUAGACGAUCUUAGAGGUCUUUUUCAACCUUAAUGAUUCUGAUUCUGUGAAAACUUGGGUCAGAGUGGACCUGUGCAGAAUGCCUGACAGAUAUAAACUAGUUCCUCUGCAGAGACCCAUCACAAAAGAUCAGUGUUUGACUUUCAGAAGUCAGUAGCCCAGCAGAGAACAGCCUUAGGGCAUGCUCCUCCCCUGCUCCUCCCCUGGAGGCUUAUUGCUUUUUAUACUCUACUUCAACUGUCUCACUCAGAUUCCUAGUGCAGGCUGAUUAUAUGGCCACUCUGUGGGCAGUGGGAAACACAGCAUUUCCAGAGGCUGACUCACCUGUGUGAGAUGUCAAAAAGCCAUAUGCAAGCUGCUGAGAGCUUGGGGAAAGAAAAGGGACAGCAAGAUCUUCCUAAGCUGGCUUUGAUGAGACAGAAAAUAUGGCGUAUACUGCAAUGACAGUUCAACUCAUAUUUAGGUGAUCUUAUCAUAUACUUGUGGUUAGUUUUUACUGAAUGUAAGUGUCUAUAAAUGCUCUUUAGACAGCUACCUUACUAACAUGUACUCCCUACACACCAUUUACUGAUCUGCUCCAAAGAGUGCAGGUGGAAGAUUUCUCUUUGGCCAACAUGACUUGAAACUGAUGGGUGAGUACUCAUCUGUCAAACGAAGCUGGGAGAGAGAUGAGAUGCUUAUCUCUUACAGACAAAACACCUGGCUGUCUGGGUUUGUGAAUGCUAAUAUUGCAAGCUAAAAAAAAAAGAAAAAAGAAAAAGAAAAAGAAAAAGAAA